rnacentral:rRNA from 1 species
CAGUCGCCACGGUAAUACGAAGGGGGCUAGCGUUGUUCGGAACCAUUGGGCGUAAAGCGCACGUAGGCGGAUACUUAAGUCAGGGGUGAAAUCCCGGGGCUCAACCUCGGAACUGCCUUUGAUACUGGGUACCUUGAGUCCGGGAGAGGUUGGUGGAACUCCGAGUGUAGAGGUGAAAUUCGUAGAUAUUCGGAAGAACACCAGUGGCGAAGGCGACCAACUGGCCCGGUACUGACGCUGAGGUGCGAAAGCGUGGGGAGCAAACAGGAUUAGAUACCCCUGUAGUCCCUGUCUCUUAUAC